AAUGUUUUCACAGUCGUUCGUGCACUAAUUCGAUUAGAGUUAUUUUAUUUUUAUUGAAAACUAAUUGCGAAUGAUUCCUUUGAAAACUCAUUUUGAAAUAAUUUUAAAACUACAAAAACAAAAAACAAAUUAAAAUUUAAAUAAUCAAGAAAAUUAAAAAAUUUUAUAGUUUCGAUUUCUUGAUGAAGAAACGUCAGCAAGUCGCGAUUCACGAUAGACACACAGUCAAGAGACGGAACGGGUGUAACUGCUACUACUGGAUUGCUGCUUAGGCCCAAAAUCAGGGCCGUAUGUUUCUUGUAUAGGGCCUUAAAUGGACACGAUACGACUAUGUUCUCCCAUCCGUUUCUUGCUCGUUCAACCGGCUAUGGUGUAUACGUUCACAGGAUACCUGAUCUGCGUAUUUCGAUACUUUAAGGUCGGCCACAAAUAGAAACUUCACUGUUUGUAUUCAAUGUGAAAUUAUUUUAGAAUAACUAUCAAAAAGUGUAACUUUAUAAAAUUAAUGUCAAUCAAUAAUUAUUUGAUAUCAAAAAAGUGCAAUAUUUUGUAGUAUCAUGGUUCAAUUUUAUAAUUAUAAUUUUAUAUUAUUCAAUGUUUCAUUAUGCUAAACAAAUAUUAGAAUGCAAUACUUAAAUGUAUGUAAGGAAUGUGGCUUUCAUACAUUAUAAUUCCAUGACGAU
rnacentral:lncRNA from 1 species